AUUUAAAUAGCUUAAUUAGAGUAUAAUAUUGAAGAUAUUAAGGUAACGUAAUUGUUUUUGAAUA
rnacentral:tRNA from 1 species